UUGGCUCUCCAGCAGAAUUACACAAAACUACAAAUUCUUUUUCCUGAAAAACUUGGAUGAAAGUGUGUUUAUCUCACAGCGACAUCAAAACUGAUGAGGGCAGAAGCACAUGAACAAGCCAGGAUGUAAAACCAUUAAAACCUAAUCAGGUGGCUUCAAUCCAUUUUCAGCUGUUUCAUGAAGCUGUCACAGAAAUCUAGAGCUGGUGACGAGAAGAGGAGAACAAUCUAUGAACUUGGUGCAACAGCUCAUCUCGGGGUUUAUAGCAGGUUUGACAGCCAGUAAUUUCUGUUCAGAUGAUCUAAGAGGCCAAUAAAGUAGAAGGAGGUGAGCAGUAUACCAUCUGACCAGGCAAGGCUCGAAAAUGGAUGCAGCCAGUGAAAGGAGGAUAACAAUACUGGAUGAGUGAGCAGCCGAGCAGCUUCAACAAAAUACUUUCUGUUAAGAUGAAGUUUUAUUUGCAGAUUUUUUUUCAUGCACAUCUUUUCAUCCUGCUAAACCAACUUCACAGCUCUGUGCAGCAUCAGGCGGCCGUUUAUUUCCACCAGACUCGUUUUGUUCAAAGUUACAUAAUCAUUGCUUGAUAAUGGAGCUGUGAGCGAGGAGUCCUGCCUGAGGGAAACUGAGUCGACCAGUGAUCUCAAACCUUUCUAUGCAAAUGUUGCUUCUGUUUUCUGACACUAUAGCUUGUGAAAUGUUUGCGGCACCAGUGAUCUCCUCUCUGCAUGCUUUGAAUGUCAUCCUGCAGCCUCAGAUAAAAAGUGACUUCAGUUCAGAAUCAACAUGUUCCUGAGUGAAGUGCAGUGUUCCUCCUGCAGUCACAGAAUUCGGGAUUUCCGUGAAUUAAAUCUGACUGAUGGAUUAUUGGUUUGUCUGACUUUGGGACGUUUUAUGGAUUUUAACACACUGCGUGGCUUCUCAUCAGCAGAGGAAGAAUGUGAACAGAACUGGACUCUGUCCUCUACCUGUCUCCUCUGAGGUAGUCGAGGCGGCUCUGCAUCAUGAACUCUCUCCUCCGUCGGUACUCUCUGGCUCUCAGCAGCUGCUGCUUCCUCUCCUCUUUGCUCCAGUAUCGGCCCUGUUGGAAAACAGUUUGGAAGACGUUUAUCACCGGUUUAACCAGCGAUUUGCCACAGUAUGUGUAGCACAGGCAGAACAUCAGGGAUUAAAUUCAUUUAGUUACAAGUGAAGUUAAGUAAAUAAUAGUCAUGAUAAAUGUAAAUAUAAGGAAGUCAAAUGGGCAGCACGGUGGCUCAGUGGUUUGUGCUGUCUCAGCAGAAGUGACGUUCACUGGUUGUUCACUGCUGAAAUUAAAUAUAGAGUAAUUAAAUUCUAAAUAUUGUAAAAUA